GGGAUCGUGGCUCAGUGGUAGAGUGCUUGCCUAGCAUGCAGGAGGCAUUGGGUUCGAUCCUC
rnacentral:tRNA from 1 species